AAACACAGGAUAACACAAACACAGAAUAAAUGCAUACACACACCAAAAAUCCAUGCCUCGUGUGGGAUUUGAAACCAUGAUCCUGACUUCUGAGCGAUCGAAGACAUUACAUGCCUUAGACCGCUCAGCUACCAUGAACAGCUAUAUUGUAUAUGGGUUGUAUCAAAUGUGGAUGUGUGAAGACAUAAGGAUUUGGAAAGUAGUCAAUAAUUGAUUGAGCAUGUCAGAUGGCAAUGACUUAAAAGAAAAGUUUGUUAAGGCAGUUAAUGAAAUGCAGUGUGGAGACAGAAGGAAUCAAAUACUGGAACAGCUAACCCCGGUAGCUGAAUCAAGUGUGAACUCAGAAGCUGAACUCUUCAUAAAAGCCACAUAAUUUGUCAGCAGAACAGCCAACAGAAAAUCUGCUUAUGUUAUGGGUACUCUGUACACAUAUUUUGCACUUUGUUUGAUUGCUUUAUAUGUUCAGGAGUUAAGCUUUGGUGUAUUAAACAUGUAUCUAUGGCAGAGGGUCUCUUGAACAUGCAAUUGGAGUCCUUAGACAAGCAUCACAAAUUCUCUGCAAUCAGAAGAAAUUGAGAAAAGUGUAAGCAAACCUUAAAACCCUGAGUGGCAAUUAAAUCCAUGAUUCCAGAAGAAGAUGGAUGCAUUUUACCAUGCAGCUACUAGGAUCAGCAAAUUUUAUUUGUACAAAUUUCAUGCUGGCCAAUAGAGUCAGGGAGACAAAUGAGUAGAGCAUUAUGCAGCUGGCAGAGGGGGAGCAUGAGGACAGAACUGAAAAUUUGGCUCAGCUGUGCAGCCUCUUUUGUACAUCUACUGCAUUCAUUUCCUGAGAGGAUAAGGAAAGAGUCAGUAAACAUAUUGUCUUAUGUUGGAUUUAUGCAUUUUCACCCUCUACAACUUUUUUGGAACCCACCUGCUGCAUGAAUUGAUGAGUACCUAUGAACCAGUUGAUUUAAUGGAGUUGCAGGUGAUAGAAGUGACCUUAAGUUUGGACUGGACUAAGACAAUAUACUGUACAAAGCUACUGGUAGUCAGAAAGUGAAAUAUAUGUAAUGAAUCAAGUCUUAACAUUUUUAAACCUCAAGAAAGAACUUGAUCAACAUAGUGGAAGUAAAGUCUGAAGUCCAACAAAAUUCUGCAGUCUUUGACACAUUGGAAAGGAGCUACUAUAUGUAUUUCUAUAUUGAUAAUGUUAAGAAAACGAUGAUGAUGAUGAUGAUGAUGAUGAUGAUGAUGACGUCAAUGCAUUGUCUAGCACCAUUUAUUACAACAGCAGCUCUGUGUACACACUUGUAUUUUUUAAUUUAAGAGCAUAAAAUAUUUAUUG